rnacentral:rRNA from 1 species
UACAGAGGUGGCAAGCGUUGUUCGGAAUUACUGGGCGUAAAGGGCGCGUAGGCGGCCUUCUACGUCGGACGUGAAAUCCCCAGGCUUAACUUGGGAACUGCGUCUGAUACUGGGAGGCUUGAGUGCGGGAGAGGGAUGUGGAAUUCCAGGUGUAGCGGUGAAAUGCGCAGAUAUCAGGAGGAACACCGGUGGCGAAGGCGGAUCUCUGGGCCUUACCUGACGCUGAGGCGCGAAAGCUAGGGGAGCGAACAGG